GACGAACGCUGGCGGCGUGCUUAACACAUGCAAGUCGAACGAAGUGGCGAACGGGUGAGUAACGCGUAAUCCACCUGCCCUUCAGAGGGGGACAACACUUGGAAACGACUGCUAAUACCCCAUACUGAAGGAGUGGAUUGCGUCUGCUUAGCUAGUUGGGGGGGUAACGGCCCACCAAGGCGAUGAUCAGUCGGCUGGCUGGGAGGAUGAACGGCCAAAUUGGGAAUGGGACACGGCCCAGACUCCUACGGGAGGCAGCAGGGGGGAAUCUUCCGCAAUGGAGGAAAGUCUGACGGAGCAACGCCGCGUGAGUGAUGACGGCCUUCGGGUUGUAAAGCUCUGUUAAUCGGGACGCGGUACCGGAAUAGAAAGCCACGGCUAACUACGUGCCAGCAGCCGCGGUAAUAC
rnacentral:rRNA from 1 species